rnacentral:rRNA from 1 species
AUGGGCCUACGGGGCGCAGCAGUGAGGAAUAUUGGUCAAUGGCCGAGAGGCUGAACCAGCCACGUCGCGUGAGGGAAGACGGCCCUACGGGUUGUAAACCUCUUUUGUCGGGGAGCAAAGCGAGUCACGUGUGGCUCAUUGAGAGUACCCGAAGAAAAAGCAUCGGCUAACUCCGUGCCAGCAGCCGCGGUAAUCCGGAGGAUGCGAGCGUUAUCCGUAUUUAUUGGGUUUAAAGGGUGCGC